rnacentral:tRNA from 1 species
AGCAGGCAUGGGGCAGGACGGCGCAAUCCUUCGUCAUUUCAGGCACGACGCGAUCCGGCUGCUCCGGCCGGUCUGGCCGCUG